rnacentral:rRNA from 1 species
AGAGUUUGAUCCUGGCUCAGGAUUAACGCUAGCGGGAGGCCUAACACAUGCAAGUCGAGGGGUAACAGGUGUAGCAAUACAUGCUGACGACCGGCGCACGGGUGAGUAACGCGUAUGUAACCUACCCUAUACUGGGGGAUAGCUCGGAGAAAUUCGGAUUAAUACCCCAUAAUACAUAGAUAUCGCAUGUUAUUUAUGUUAAAGCUUCGGUGGUAUAGGAUGGGCAUGCGUCCCAUUAGCUAGUUGGAGAGGUAACGGCUCACCAAGGCAACGAUGGGUAUGGGGUCUAAAAGGAUGGUCCCACACACUGGUACUGAGACACGGACCAGACUCCUACGGGAGGCAGCAGUGAGGAAUAUUGGUCAAUGGGCGGAAGCCUGAACCAGCCAUCCCGCGUGCAGGAAGACGGCCCUAGAGGUUGUAAACUGCUUUUCUACAGGAAUAAUAAGGACUACGAGUAGUUCGAUGCCAGUACUGUAGGAAUAAGCAUCGGCUAACUCCGUGCCAGCAGCCGCGGUAAUACGGAGGAUGCAAGCGUUAUCCGGAUUUAUUAGGUUUAAAGGGUGCGUAGGCGGGACUUUAAGUCAGUGGUGAAAGGCAGUAGCUUAACUAUUGUAAGCCAUUGAUACUGGGGUUCUUGAGUUAGGUAGAGGUAGGCGGAAUGUGUUGUGUAGCGGUGAAAUGCUUAGAUAUAACACAGAACACCGAUUGCGAAGGCAGCUUACUAUGCCUAUACUGACGCUGAUGCACGAAAGCGUGGGGAUCAAACAGGAUUAGAUACCCUGGUAGUCCACGCUGUAAACGAUGAUCACUCGUUGUUGGCGAUAUACAGUCAGCGGCUAAGCGAAAGCGAUAAGUGAUCCACCUGGGGAGUACGUCGGCAACGAUGAAACUCAAAGGAAUUGACGGGGGCCCGCACAAGCGGAGGAACAUGUGGUUUAAUUCGAUGAUACGCGAGGAACCUUACCUGGGCUUAAAUGUAGGUUGCAUUCGGAUGAAAGUCUGAUUUCCUUCGGGACUACCUACAAGGUGCUGCAUGGUUGUCGUCAGCUCGUGCCGUGAGGUGUCGGGUUAAGUCCCAUAACGAGCGCAACCCUCAUUGCCAGUUACCAACACUUAGGGUGGGGACUCUGGCGAAACUGCCGGUGUAAACCGAGAGGAAGGUGGGGAUGACGUCAAAUCAGCACGGCCCUUAUGUCCAGGGCGACACACGUGUUACAAUGGCCAGUACAGAGGGCAGCCACCUGGUGACAGGGCGCUAAUCCCAAAAGCUGGUCUCAGUUCGGAUCGGAGUCUGCAACUCGACUCCGUGAAGCUGGAUUCGCUAGUAAUCGCACAUCAGCCAUGGUGCGGUGAAUACGUUCCCGGGCCUUGUACACACCGCCCGUCAAGCCAUGGGAGUUGGGGGUGCCUGAAGUCCGUGAUCUGUCGCAAGAUGGAAGCGGCCUAGGGUAAAACCAAUGACUGGGGCUAAGUCGUAACAAGGUAGCCGUACCGGAAGGUGUGGCUG